GACGUAGGGGCCGAGCGUUGUCCGGAGUUACUGGGCGUAAAGGGCGCGCAGGCGGUUGGUCACAUCGGCGGUGAAAGCCCCCCCGCUCAACGGGGGAGGGUCCGUCGAGAUGGGCCGACUGGAGGCAGGGAGAGGGCGGUGGAAUUCCGGGUGUAGUGGUGAAAUGCGUAGAUAUCCGGAGGAACACCAGUGGCGAAGGCGGCCGCCCUGGACC
rnacentral:rRNA from 1 species